rnacentral:rRNA from 1 species
UACGAAGGGGGGCUAGCGUUGCUCGGAAUCACUGGGCGUAAAGGGUGCGUAGGCGGGUCUUUAAGUCAGGGGUGAAAUCCUGGAGCUCAACUCCAGAACUGCCUUUGAUACUGAGGAUCUUGAGUCCGGAAGAGGUGAGUGGAACUGCGAGUGUAGAGGUGAAAUUCGUAGAUAUUCGCAAGAACACCAGUGGCGAAGGCGGCUCACUGGUCCGGUACUGACGCUGAGGUGCGAAAGCGUGGGGAGCAAACAGG